GCAGCCUGGCUUCCGAGGUUGGACUUCUACACCCGCCUCUAGACCGGAGAGGAGUACGAACCCGCACCACGGCGGCCUUCAGGCAGCCGCGGGAUAGUCCCUGAGAGCUUAUUGAGAAGCAAGCACCCUGCAGCCCUAGCGAUCCAGCCCUCCCCUGGGCACUAGGUCACGGCAGUCAGCCCUCUGCUGCUGUUCCCUAACCCCGAGGCCCGAUGGGUCCCGCGGGGGUCGCAGCGAGGCCGAGGCGCUUCUUCGGCGUCUACCUGCUCUACUGCCUGAACCCCCGGCACCGGGGCCGCGUCUACGUGGGGUUCACUGUCAAUCCUGCUCGUCGGGUUCAGCAGCACAACGGGGGUCGCAAAAAAGGCGGGGCCUGGAGGACUAGCGGGCGAGGGCCCUGGGAGAUGGUGCUCGUUGUGCACGGCUUCUUGUCCGCAGUGGCUGCCCUUCGGUUCGAGUGGGCCUGGCAGCACCCGCACGCCUCGCGCCGCCUAGCGCACGUGGGACCGCGCCUGCGUGGAGAGACGGCCUUCACGUUCCACUUGCGCGUGCUGGCACACAUGCUCCGCGCACCGCCCUGGGCGCGCCUCCCGCUCACGCUGCGCUGGCUGCGCCCUGACCUCCGCCAGGACCUCUGCCUGCCGCCGCCGCCUCACGUGCCCCUGGCCUUCGGGCCUCCACCGCCCCAGGCCCCAGCCCUAAGGCACCGCGCAGGCCCCUUUGAUGACACCAAGCCUGAGCCAGACCAAGAGGAUGCAGGGGACUGCUGCGCCCUGUGCGCCCGGCCCAUCCAGGAUGAACAGGGACCCUUGUGUUGCCCCCACCCUGGCUGCCUCCUACGGGCCCACGUGAUCUGCCUGGCAGAGGAGUUCCUUCGGGAAGAACCAGGGCAGCUUCUGCCCCUAGAGGGCCAAUGCCCUAGCUGUGAGAAGUCACUGCUGUGGGGAGACCUGAUCUGGUUGUGCCAGACGAACACUGAGAAAGAAGUAGAAGACUUGGAAUUAGAAAAGGCACACUGGACAGACCUGCUGGAGACCUGAUCCUUGGUGUCCCUGUGCCCCUCCUACCUCUUUUCUGUGCCACCUGCCACGGAUCCAGAUAUGGGCCCCGUGGCUUCCAAGCCCCAGCCUCCUCUAGCCUCUGUCUGCGGAGCCUCCUUCAAACCCAGGGAAAGAAAAGCACCUGCAGGGUUGUUGUUCUUCUAGGAUCUUCUACUGAUGCUCUGUGAGGUGUCCUGGGAGCCAUGAAGCUGAAGCUGGCUCCCAGGGCAAUGGGACUCCAUUGUGUCCUUGUUUCCUUGUUCUUUUUUGUUCUUCUU